GAGUUUGAUCCUGGCUCAGAUUGAACGCUGGCGGCAUGCCUUACACAUGUAAGUCGAACGGCAGCAUGAUCUAGCUCGCUAGAUUGAUGGCGAGUGGCGAACGGGUGAGUAAUACAUCGGAACGUGCCCUGUAGUGGGGGAUAACUAGUCGAAAGAUUAGCUAAUACCGCAUACGACCUGAGGGUGAAAGUGGGGGACCGCAAGGCCUCAUGCUAUAGGAGCGGCCGAUGUCUGAUUAGCUAGUUGGUGGGGUAAAGGCCCACCAAGGCGACGAUCAGUAGCUGGUCUGAGAGGACGAUCAGCCACACUGGGACUGAGACACGGCCCAGACUCCUACGGAGGCAGCAGUGGGGAAUUUUGGACAAUGGGCGAAAGCCUGAUCCAGCAAUGCCGCGUGUGUGAAGAAGGCC
rnacentral:rRNA from 1 species